UGACUACACACUCCCUCAGGGAUGUCCAACAAAAAAAAGGAAAAAAAAAGGAAGCCUCUCAACGAGGGUAUCAUGUGUCUGUCCAUGUGUGGAAAUGGCAUUAACCGCAGAAAAUUGGGAAGACUCCUACAGAACCUGCAAUGGCACACUUAUUGGAUCUGAUGUAACAGUGAUCGUGACCCUGGUACUCUGGCUUCCUCCCAGAUAUGGAUGGGUACCCAACUCUGUACUGAAUUGGCAACGGUGAGUUUGAUAGGUAAGCCAUCAGACAUGUUUUUUUAAUCAAUUGUCUUAUCCAGUGGCAAACUGUUGUCAAGCUGUUGCCACUCUCUACUUUGUCCUCCAUCUUGUAAACACGGCGGUGUGUGUGUUGUUACAGCAAGCGAGAGUCAAAGAUGCAGAUAUGCAUAAUUGAAGAAACCUGAUCCAACAGAUGUGCUUAGUGGUUAGCCAGAGAGGUUGUAAAAUCAGUCUUUUACAAGAUGACAAAUUGGAUGGUACUGACGCUACCUCGGCGACAUGUUUUGAGACAAAUGAUUUUGCUUGGACAAUAAACACACCUUUGAUCAGCACACCACAGACAUUCAAAAAAGAAGUCAACAAAGACUGUCAGCCAUCCGAAAACUCAAAGGACUAUAUGUUGCACCUCAUCUCCUGUUAUUACUUUACCAAAGCAUUGUUCAACCCAUCCUUAUGUACUGUUCCACAUGUUUUUUCACCAUGCUUUCUGUAACCAACCGGACCAAACUCACACGCAUUACAAACAUAGCAGCUAAAAUCAUCGGCCUACCCACACCCAACAUUUCAGACUUAAACCACAGGUCCAUCAGUCGACUGGCAAAAACAAUAGUCCAGGAUAUCACUCACCCACUACACCAAUACAUCAUCCCACUACCAUCAGGGCGCAGGUACAGAACCAUCAAAUUCCGGAGGGCCCGCCUCAGGAAAAGCCUUAUCCCUGCAGCUAUAGCCGCCCUUAACAGCAGGCCCAGCCGACCUGUCUGACAAGCAUGUAAAUGUGUGUUGGUCAUGUAGGAUGUCUUUUUUUGUUAUUUUUGUUUUUGUGAUGUGUAAUGUCUAUUGUUCAAAUGUACGGGAGUGAAAAGGAAUUUCCCCAAGGAGACCAAUAAAUCUAAAUCUAAUCUAAUCUAAAGGUUCUGCUAUAAACACACAAUGUAAGGCAGGGGUCUUUGAUGCUCCCAGGUAUUCACCUUGUUGGAGGGACAGAUGAAUAAAGGUGGUCCUGGACGUUCCUAGAAAUAAUGAGGGAACAAAAUCUAAAUUAUUUUUGAAAAAAUGUGUGGAGCUGAAUUUUCCCUGAAAUAUGCAUCAAGGCUAUAAAGUGUGCUUACCUGAUUAAUUGAACAAAAUA